AUUGAACGCUGGCGGCAGGCCUAACACAUGCAAGUCGAGCGGAUGAACAGUACUUGCUCCUGGUUUCAGCGGCGGACGGGUGGGUGAUGCCUAGGAAUCUGCCUGGUUGCGUGUGAUAACGUCCGGACGCGGGCGCUAAUACGGCAUACGUCCUGAGGGCGAACGUGUGAGAUCUUCGGAUCUUCCGCCAUCAGACGAUCCGAGGUCGGAUUAGCUAGUUGGUGGGGUAAAGGCCUACCAAGGCGACGAUCCGUAGCUGGUCUGAGAGGAUGAUCAGACACACUGGAACUGAGACACGGUCCAGACUCCUACGGGAGGCAGCAGUGGGGAAUAUUGGACAAUGGGCGAAAGCCUGAUCCAGCCAUGCCGCGUGUGUGAAGAAGGUCUUCGGAUUGUAAAGCCCUUUUGUUGGGGAAGAAGAGCAGUAAGUUAAUACCUUGCUGUUUUGACGGUACCAACAGAAUAAGCACCGGCUAACUUCGUG
rnacentral:rRNA from 1 species